CCCCGCCGCCGGCGCGCGCGCCGCGCCGUAGCCAAUCGGAGGAGGGGAUGUGCGCCGCCACGGCCGGGCCGCCGCGACGAGACGGGCGCGAGAGAGACGUUCCGGGGAGAGAAGGGUCCGCGCUGUGGCGGGGCUACUCCCCCGAGCUGUCCUGCAGGGCAGCCAGGCCGCGGCUGCAGACAGCGAGGGGAUGGUCUGGGCUUGGGCCGCUGCAGCCCGGAGGAGUUAUCUGCUAGAUAAGGGAACAGACAUUUUCUCUCUGUGCUGACACUGCUGAGGCACCGCAAACCCUGGGGCUGCAAGGUGGAGGUUUCCACAAGUCAAGCAGCCCAAGGGAGACCACCACAGAGUGAAUUCACUUCCCUCUGGAUUUCCUGCAAGUUAAUUGUGAUGGCAUAAAGGUGUUUCCACGUCCACUUUUGUCUGUUCCUCUUUUUGGCAAAGCCCUGCCUGGUUCUUGGCCCUGUGUGCUCUUACAUAAAGCUUUCCUGAAGCCUUGGUCAGGUUUGUACUGCUGGGUUUUCUUUAAUGUAAUCUUCUGGUUAAAAGCUUUCAGUUCUUGCAU